rnacentral:rRNA from 1 species
UACGGAGGGUGCGAGCGUUGUCCGGAAUCAUUGGGCGUAAAGGGCGCGUAGGCGGCGUGUCAAGUCGAUUGUGAAAUCUCCGGGCUUAACUCGGAACGGCCAAUCGAUACUGACGUGCUAGAGUGCAGAAAGGGCAAUCGGAAUUCUUGGUGUAGCGGUGAAAUGCGUAGAUAUCAAGAGGAACACCUGAGGCGAAGGCGGGUUGCUAGGCUGACACUGACGCUGAGUGCGCGAAAGCCAGGGGAGCAAACGGG